rnacentral:rRNA from 1 species
GGGUAGCCGGCCUGAGAGGGUGAACGGCCACACUGGGACUGAGACACGGCCCAGACUCCUACGGGAGGCAGCAGUAGGGAAUCUUGCGCAAUGGGCGAAAGCCUGACGCAGCGACGCCGCGUGCGGGACGAAGGCCCUCGGGUUGUAAACCGCUUUCAGCAGGGACGAAGCGAAAGUGACGGUACCUGCAGAAGAAGGUCCGGCCAACUACGUGCCAGCAGCCGCGGUAAUACGUAGGGACCGAGCGUUGUCCGGAUUCAUUGGGCGUAAAGGGCUCGUAGGCGGCCGUUCAAGUCGAAUGUGAAACCUCGAGGCUCAACCUCGAGCCUGCAUUCGAUACUGGACGGCUAGAGUCUGGUAGGGGGAUCUGGAAUUCCUGGUGUAGCGGUGGAAUGCGCAGAUAUCAGGAGGAACACCGGUGGCGAAGGCGGGAUCCUGGGCCAGUACUGACGCUGAUGAGCGAAAGCGUGGGAGCAAACAGGAUUAGAUACCCUGGUAGUCCACGCCGUAAACGAUGGGCGCUAGGUGUGGGAGGUCAUCGACUCCUUCCGUGCCGCAGCUAACGCAUUAAGCGCCCCGCCUGGGGAGUACGGCCGCAAGGCUAAAACUCAAAGGAAUUGACGGGGGCCCGCACAAGCGGCGGAGCAUGUUGCUUAAUUCGACGCGACGCGAAGAACCUUACCAGGGCUUGACAUGUAGGGAAAAGCCGUGGAGACACGGUGUCCGCAAGGGCCCUAUGCAGGUGUUGCAUGGCUGUCGUCAGCUCGUGUCGUGAGAUGUUGGGUUAAGUCCCGCAACGAGCGCAACCCUUGUCCUAUGUUGCCAGCGGUUCAAGCCGGGGACUCAUAGGAGACUGCCGGGGUCAACUCGGAGGAAGGUGGGGACGACGUCAAGUCAUCAUGGCCCUUAUGUCCUGGGCUGCAAACAUGCUACAAUGGCCGGUACAGAGGGCUGCAAACCCGCGAGGGGGAGCCAAUCCCAAAAAGCCGGUCUCAGUUCGGAUCGGGGUCUGCAACUCGACCCCGUGAAGUCGGAGUCGCUAGUAAUCGCAGAUCAG